GAAGCGCACGGGACAUGGUAAGGAAGGGAGGGCGAGACAUGAGAACAGGAGCUCAGUCUGGCUCCAGCCCCAGCCCCCUGCUGAGGGCGGUGGUUCAGGAAGCCCAGUCCCAUCGCAGCCCCGGAGCCCGCGCACACAGAGCUCUGAAGACAGACAUGGAGUCUUUACCUUGGGACAUCUAACGAGGCUAAUCUUCUGGAAGGCGUUCCAAAGGGGCCUGCUGAAAGAGGAAGAUGGCCAUAGCCUCACCCAGCCCCAGAGGAUGCCUGGGAAGAUACGGUGAAGAGAGCUCUGUGCCAGGACCGCUACGUGCACCCCAAGGGACAGCAGGGCAGAGAGCCCCAGGAACGAACAUCAGCACCUCUGAAGGAGGCCUUCGAAAAUGCAUGGUGUUUCCAGACCAGUCAUGGAGGAUACUUUCCCAGUGCUGGAAACAGUUAUCCCUGAGUGGGGAAGAGUAUGCUCCCUCACCUGCUGGCGUGCAUGGAUUGCCCUGUACCCGUCUUCUCCUGACUUGGGAUGCACAUAAAGGCUGCCGUUCCCCUACUGUGUUACAGUCGUCUCGAGGACAAGAGACAACGUCUUCUCCACCACCUGCCACCGGACACUCCACAAAGGCUGGGCCUCGUCUCUCUCAUCUCUCGUCCCCAGCCCACCGAGGGGCGCUGCUCUAAUGGCCACCCCCCUCCCUUCCUCCUUACCAGUGGCACCAGCUCCCCAGUACAGGGUGAAAUGCGUGUGAUGGGGCUUGGUCACUGAGACACAAAGUGCUGCCUACCAGGGAGCUUCUGGGGAAAUACCCGCCUCCCCCCAUAUCCAUACUUCCUUUUCCUUUCUGCUCUCUGAUGUCCUCAGGUGAGGACAUACGCUUGCAGCUCAGGCUGCAAGAAGCGAAGGCCCACAGAGGUUGGACCAGAGUCCUGACGCUACCCCACUGCUCAACCAGCCCUAGACCUGCCUACUACACCCAUAAUGAGGAGAAAAUAAUAACAAACACCCAUUACUACUUAAACAGUAAGUUCUGCAGCCAGAAACACCUAAUAGAUACAUGUACUCAUUGACUCUGUUCAUCCAGCACCCACCCUGGGCCAGGCAUGCCUGGAGCCAGGAACACAAGGGCUGGGAGCUCAGGCCCUGCUCUCUCAUGCCACUUCUCACACACUGGAUCCUACCAGGCCCCGUCAUCCUGGUACCCACGGUUAUUUGUGGCAGGUGAAUCGUAAACAUUUUUUACCUGACCAUUCUGAAGCUAUCGAUCCCACCCUACAGGGGAAAAAUCAGUAACUUAAUGUCUAAAGCUAGAAAUUUUCCCUAAAACAAGCACAAUAAAGCAGGACGUGCAGCCAAAUAAACCUUCCAUACAUCAGCCUCCCAGAAGGCCCUUCAUGAUCCCACAGGUGCCUCCCAAACCUCC